AACGAACGCUGGCGGCAUGCCUAACACAUGCAAGUCGAACGAGACCUCCGGGCCUAGUUGCGCACGGGUGCGUCACGCGUGGGAACCUGCCCGUAGGUUCGGAAUAACUCCCCUAAAGGGGUGCUAAUACCGGUUAAUGUCUUCGGAGCAAAGAUUUAUCGCCUUUGGAUGGGCCCGCGUUGGAUUAGCUAGUUGGUAGGGUAAAAGCCUAUCAAGGCGACGAUCCAUAGCUGGUCUGAGAGGAAGAUCAGCCACACUGGGACUGAGACACGGCCCAGAAUCCUACGGGAGGCAGCAGUGGGGAAUAUUGGACAAUGGGCGAAAGCCUGAUCCAGCAAUGCCGCGUGAGUGAUGAAGGCCUUAGGGUUGUAAAGCUCUUUUACCCGGGAUGAUAAUGACAGUACCGGGAGAAUAAGCUCCGGCUAACUCCGUG
rnacentral:rRNA from 1 species